AUUGAACGCUGGCGGCGUGCCUAAUACAUGCAAGUCGAACGCAGUGGGGACGGGUGAGUAACACGUGGGUAACCUCCCAUCAGAGGGGAUAACACUUGGAAACAGGUGCUAAACCGAUACUGAUGGAUGGACCCGCGGUGCAUUAGCUAGUUGGUGAGGUAACGGCUCACCAAGGCCACGAUGCAUAGCCGACCUGAGAGGUUGAUCGGCAACACUGGGUCUGAGACACGGCCAAGAAUCCUACGGGAGUCAGCAGGAGGUAAUCUUCCGCAAUUGACGAAAGUCUGACCGAGCAACGCAGGGUGAGUGAAGAAGGUUUUCGGAUCGAAAAACUCUGUUGUGAGAGAAGCGGUAUCUAACCAGAAAGCACCGGCUAACUCAGUGCCAGCAGCCGCGGUAAUAC
rnacentral:rRNA from 1 species